rnacentral:lncRNA from 1 species
ACAGAAGACGAAGAGCUGGAAUAGAGCUCGCCUCGGCUCUGCUGGCCUUGGCUGCAGCUCUUCCAGAAACCCGGGGCGCCCACAGAAGAAUCUCUUACCUGGCUCUCUCUUCAGGGAUGACAUCAUCGGCUCACACCAGUCUUCCAGGACCACCUUCUGGAUGCCAAGGCUGCUGCUCGAAGCCAAGGAGCACGGAUUCCAGGAACCCACUACCAUACAGAGCAACUCCUUGUGGACCCCCCUGGGAUCAGGACAGCGAGGGACAAGCGACAAAGAGGAUCAUCAGUGGCCAGCUAGUUUCUCUGGGGUUCAAACCUUGAACCAGUGCCCUAGUGAGGGGGCACUGGCCAUGGCCCUUGACCUUUGCUCUGCUUGUGUCUUGAGUCUGAGCCCUUUCCUGUACAUCUGUGCUCGUGUUCAUCUGCUAGUGAACUGGAGUGCUGCCCUCCCCGAGGAGGGUCGUCCCUUGUGACUGAUCAUGCUGUCCUAACAAUGUCCUGAGCAAAAGGGUCCCUUUGGGAACCUCUCAGGAGGGGGACCCGGGUCAGGGGCGACCAGCAUCUUGCUGGCAACUCCGUGGGUGGGGUGGGGUGGGGUGCUUCCUUCUGGAAUGAGCACGUGGCUGACCCCCCAAGGCAUGUCCCCUCCCCCUCCUCCACCCACCUUCUCGGAGAUGUCCCUUUUGGGGUAGUGGGGACAUUAGGAGCAACCUCCUAGGGUUGUUGUGAGAAUUAAAUGAACUGCAGCAGCCUGAGGCAGGGCUGGGCAGAGACCUCAGCACAUGUUUGUUGAAAGGUUUGCAGGUGGAUCUAGUCCUCCCGUUCAUGGCUCAUGUGUCUCAACCAUUCUCUCGCAGACUCCUGCAGCCCCUAUGCCCAGGGCUCUCCUUGCGCCAGCCCCGGCUUCUCGAGGCCUGUCUACACUCGCUGCUUUCCUUCCUCACCUCCAAUUUCCCCUCCAACCCACUGCUUCCUGACUCGCUCUUCUCCAUCGAACGGCUCUCGCUCAGGCCUGUCGCGUCUUCCUGUGCCAUUUGCUGUUGUGCUCAGGUUCCACGAGCUGCCCAUCUCCACAGAAGAGCAGCUGGCAUUGCCCACCGGCCAUGCCGGCUGAAGAAAAGAAGACUGAGGACCCCAGGAUGCCCAGCGCGAGGACCCCAGGAAGCCCAGCGCGAGGACUCCACCCACGACGCCCAGCGCGAGGACUUCACGCACAACACGUUGCAACCCUCCUGGAUUAGGCCUCUACAGCCACGGGGACGCCUUGCACAUUUCCUGUGGGACAUGCUGGACCCAAGACUCUGGACCCUGGCCUCCCCUUGAGUAGAGAGACCCACCUACUGACUGAUGAACUGCGCUGACCCUGGGGUCAGGCAUGUGGCCUUGAUCCCUACCCAUGGACCCUGAGACUUGGGGGGGUGGGAGAAAGGCUGUUGUGUCUUCACUGUUGAGUCUACAUCUGUGAAAUGGGCUCAGGUUCCUACCUCACAGGGCUGUUGUGAGGCAGCCGCAAUGUGCUUAGAAGCAUGGGGCCUAGUGGCUCAUGGUGCUUUCAAUAAAUUUCUUGUUUUAACUAAA